GGUUAAGCGACUAAGCGUACACGGUGGAUGCCCUGGCAGUCAGAGGCGAUGAAGGACGUGCUAAUCUGCGAAAAGCGUCGGUAAGGUGAUAUGAACCGUUAUAGCCGGCGAUGUCCGAAUGGGGAAACCCAGUGCAAUUCGUUGCACUAUCGUUUGAUGAAUACAUAGUCAAACGAGGCGAACCGGGGGAACUGAAACAUCUAAGUACCCCGAGGAAAAGAAAUCAACCGAGAUUCCCCCAGUAGCGGCGAGCGAACGGGGAGCAGCCCGGAGUCUGAAUCAGCUUGUGUGUUAGUGGAAGCGUCUGGAAAGUCGCAGGGUACAGGGUGAUACUCCCGUACACUAAAGCACACAGGUUGUGAACUCGAAGAGUAGGGCGGGACACGUGGUAUCCUGUCUGAAUAUGGGGGGACCAUCCUCCAAGGCUAAAUACUCCUGACUGACCGAUAGUGAACCAGUACCGUGAGGGAAAGGCGAAAAGAACCCCGGCGAGGGGAGUGAAAAAGAACCUGAAACCGUGUACGUACAAGCAGUAGGAGCCUCUUUAUGGGGUGACUGCGUACCUUUUGUAUAAUGGGUCAGCGACUUAUAUUCUGUAGCAAGGUUAACCGUAUAGGGGAGCCGCAGGGAAACCGAGUCUUAACUGGGCGUUAAGUUGCAGGGUAUAGACCCGAAACCCGGUGAUCUAGCCAUGGGCAGGUUGAAGGUUGGGUAACACUAACUGGAGGACCGAACCGACUAAUGUUGAAAAAUUAGCGGAUGACUUGUGGCUGGGGGUGAAAGGCCAAUCAAACCGGGAGAUAGCUGGUUCUCCCCGAAAGCUAUUUAGGUAGCGCCUCGUGAACUCAUCUUCGGGGGUAGAGCACUGUUUCGGCUAGGGGGUCAUCCCGACUUACCAACCCGAUGCAAACUACGAAUACCGAAGAAUGUUAUCACGGGAGACACACGGCGGGUGCUAACGUCCGUCGUGAAGAGGGAAACAACCCAGACCGCCAGCUAAGGUCCCAAAGUCAUGGUUAAGUGGGAAACGAUGUGGGAAGGCCCAGACAGCCAGGAUGUUGGCUUAGAAGCAGCCAUCAUUUAAAGAAAGCGUAAUAGCUCACUGGUCGAGUCGGCCUGCGCGGAAGAUGUAACGGGGCUAAACCAUGCACCGAAGCUGCGGCAGCGACACUAUGUGUUGUUGGGUAGGGGAGCGUUCUGUAAGCCGUUGAAGGUGGCCUGUGAGGGUUGCUGGAGGUAUCAGAAGUGCGAAUGCUGACAUAAGUAACGAUAAUGCGGGUGAAAAACCCGCACGCCGGAAGACCAAGGGUUCCUGUCCAACGUUAAUCGGGGCAGGGUGAGUCGACCCCUAAGGCGAGGCCGAAAGGCGUAGUCGAUGGGAAACAGGUUAAUAUUCCUGUACUCGGUGUUACUGCGAAGGGGGGACGGAGAAGGCUAUGUUGGCCGGGCGACGGUUGUCCCGGUUUAAGCAUGUAGGCGGAUGUUCCAGGUAAAUCCGGAACGUUA
rnacentral:rRNA from 1 species